UUUAAAUGUAUCGUGACAUGGCGAAGAGCUUAAAACGUAACUUUCCUGUGUGAUUCUAGCCCUUAUGUCAGCGUGCACAAGUGCUCAUGUGAUGCGUGAGUUCUUUCUCGUUUUAUUUUUUCCGUAUGUUUGUUGUGAAAGUGUCUUCACAGCAUAUACGCUUCUUUUUUUUUGAAAAUGAAGCAACCACGGGUCUUUGUUAAAGAGGGCUUUAUAGUCUGGAGCAUAAUCGAGAAACGAGAAAGGAAUGCUUUAGGGCAACAGCUGAAAAAGGCAGGUGAUACCCAACUGUCUUGACAGAUGGUUCAACUCAGAUAUGAACCUUAAGCAAUAUCAUCCGCUAGCCAUUUUAAUAACUGAAAUAAUCACCACCACCAUAAUCAAAACGGAAGGAACCCACAACGUACAUACAAAAGAACACGUGUUUUCAAUUUGAGCAAAAAUCUUGCCAUGUUAUUUGAUACGAUUUUCGCUCCGGACAUUUUCGCCCUUAUCGACAAGUACAUAAGACUCACCCGUACAGGAAAGCAGCCCCGGCGAUCGCACCCCCACACUGGGCCACCACGAACAUCUUCGCCCUCAAGAAGGAGAUGUUCUUUGUGACACCUAGGGCGAUCGUCACCGCCGGAUUCACGUGCGCCCCUGAAAUAACACCCUUAUAAUAAUAGUAGUAAUAAUAGUGUCUUCAUUCAUCGUGGUGGUUACAAAAUUGCUCAUGAUAAUAAUUAAUAAUAAUAAUUAUAGUUAUAAUAACAGUGAUAAAGACGGUGAGAUGGUGGAGUUAACAAGAAGAGUCUAGCGAUAAUUAAGAAGUGAGUGUUAAGCUGAUUAGGCGCGACUCUGUUAAUUACCAGAUAUGUGUCCAAAGCACUGUGUCAACGAUAUCAUAGCGAAGCCAGCUGCUAGCGCUGUGGAAAGAAUAACCAGAGGAAUCGAAGGAACAGAGACUCCGACGACGGCACCUGCCGAUGCACCGCACACAAUAAAUACAUAUAUGAAGGAGGCUAUACACUCGGAGAUGACGGAUCUCCAGAAUCCUAGGUGUCGGGAACCACUUACACAACGUGUGAUGCCAAUGCGGCACUUCUGAAGAAACUUCUUUCGGCAUAAUACGACCACAUGAUUGCUUC